rnacentral:tRNA from 1 species
UGCCCGAUCGUCUAACGGCAGGACGACUGACUCUGAAUCAGUUAAUCGUGGUUCGAAUCCACGUCGGGCAGCCA